UAUGACUUAGCUAGAACCUUUUUAACACUAGUACAAAGGAAUGUAAACAAAACAACAACAAAAAACUUUACAACAACGGAUCUCUUGGCUCUCGCAUCGAUGAAGAACGCAGCGAAAUGUGAUAGUAAUGUGAAUUGCAGAAUUCAGUGAAUCAUCGAAUCUUUGAACGCACCUUGCGCUCUCUGGUAUUCCGGAGAGCAUGCCUGUUUGAGUGUCAUGAACUCUUCAACCCACCAGUUUCUUGUUAGACUGUGUUGGUGUUUGGUUUCUGAACGUUGCCUGGUUCCUCGGAACUCUCGGCUCGUUUUAAAUGUAUUAGCAUCUCAAUUUCGAAAUUUGGAUUGACUCAGUGUAAUAGACUAUUCGCUGAGGACACCCUUUGGGGUGGCCGAAUAUUAGAUCACGAUUGGUGCUUACAGACCUCUAUCUAGUCAACUCUUUUAAGAUUAGACCUCAGAUCAGGCAGGAUUACCCGCUGAACUUAA
rnacentral:rRNA from 1 species